GAUGAACGCUGGCGGCGUGCUUAACACAUGCAAGUCGAACGGAAAGGCCCAAGCUUGCUUGGGUCCUCGAGUGGCGAACGGGUGAGUAACACGUGGGUGAUCUGCCCUGCACUUCGGGAUAAGCCUGGGAAACUGGGUCUAAUACCGGAUAGGACCCCAUUUUGGAUGGUGUGGUGGAAAGUUUUUCGGUGUGGGCUGAGCUCGCGGCCUAUCAGCUUGUUGGUGGGGUAAUGGCCUACCACGGCGUCGACGGGUAGCCGGCCUGAGAGGGUGUACGGCGUCAUUGGGACUGAGAUACGGCGCAGACUCCUACGGGAGACAGCAGUCGGGAAUAUUGCACAAUGGUCGCGAGCCUGAUGCAGCGACGCCGCGUGGGGGAUGACGGCCUUCGGGUUGUAAACUCCUUUCGCUAGGGACGAAGCGCAAGUGACGGUACCUGGAGAAGAAGCACCGGCUAACUACGUG
rnacentral:rRNA from 1 species